UACAGAGAUGUAUCUUUCCUUCGGGACAGAGGAGACAGGUGGUGCAUGGUUGUCGUCAGCUCGUGUCGUGAGAUGUUGGGUUAAGUCCCGCAACGAGCGCAACCCUUGAUCUUAGUUGCCAGCAGGUGAAGCUGGGCACUCUAAGGUGACUGCCGGUGACAAACCGGAGGAAGGUGGGGAUGACGUCAAAUCAUCAUGCCCCUUAUGACCUGGGCUACACACGUACUACAAUGGCCGGUACAACGGGAAGCGAAGUCGCGAGAUGGAGCGAAUCCUCAAAAGCCGGUCUCAGUUCGGAUUGCAGGCUGCAACUCGCCUGCAUGAAGUCGGAAUUGCUAGUAAUCGCGGAUCAGCAUGCCGCGGUGAAUACGUUCCCGGGUCUUGUACACACCGCCCGUCACACCACGAGAGUUUACAACACCCGAAGUCGGUGGGGUAACCCGCAAGGGAGCCAGCCGCCGAAGGUGGGGUAGAUGAUUGGGGUGAAGUCGUAACAAGGUAGCCGUAUCGGAAGGUGCGGCUGGAUCACCUCCUUU
rnacentral:rRNA from 1 species